UGGGAUGACGUCAAGUCCUCAUGGCCCUUAUGGGUAGGGCUUCACACGUCAUACAAUGGUCGGUACAGAGGGUCGCCAAGCCGCGAGGCUGAGCCAAUCCCACAAGCCGAUCGUAGUCCGGAUUGUUCUCUGCAACUCGAGAGCAUGAAGUCGGAAUCGCUAGUAAUCGCAGGUCAGCAUACUGCGGUGAAUACGUUCCCGGGUCUU
rnacentral:rRNA from 1 species